UUCAUGGAACAUUGAACUCUAGAUGCCAUG
rnacentral:piRNA from 1 species